rnacentral:misc_RNA from 1 species
AAGUCGUAACAAGGUUUCCGUAGGUGAACCUGCGGAAGGAUCAUUAUUGAAUCUUCAAUUACGUAUGUGAACUUGCUGAACCACGAAGGAAGCAGCUGUUAUUGUAGGAAAGGGGUAGCAAUAUCCGUUCCUACAGAGAAGCAGAGGGGGUGACCCUAAUGCUGAACAACGGUCAGAGACUCGUGGGUAGGCGUAACCGCUGACGGACUUUGAGCCGUCAGUCUUUUAACCAACCCUUCAUCAUUGACUUUGACUGAAAUCUUUAUUAAUUAAAGACAACUUUUAGCAACGGAUCUCUAGGCUCUC